GAAACUAUAACGCGUUUAUCCUGUGACACGAUCGCUAAUUCUGAAAGCCUUUAUAUAGAGAGAUUUCAAAGCACAAAAUAACCACAAUUUUUAAGUUGUGGAUCGGGCUUGGAUUUUCAACUGCAAUACUGAAAGAAUUUAUUUUCAUACAGAAAUGGAUUUUCAGCUGUAAUUCUGUUUCAUUUCUAUUAAUAGGGUUUAGGAGAGAUGGGAAGCCAUAUGAGCUGCGGGAUUUGUAGGAAGGCUAAGAAAAAGACUGAUUGUGAAGGAAAACCCUGCAAAAAAGAUACAGACAUGAAGAAAUUCGGCGAGGGGCUUAAAGCUCACAUAGGGCGAAUAAUCAAGGUCACUGAAAGUGGCGCAGGAAAGCACAGCUUGUCUCUCGAUUCUUUAAAGGAUGUCACUUCCUGCUUUCUGGAAAUGGAUCAGAAAGUCCUCGACCUCAUUCUGGACUCCAAUAAAGAGAUCUGGAAUGAUCCAGAUCUGUGCGAGCUGGUAAAAGAUUAUUUGGAUAACAGUAAAGAAACCUUAAGAUUCUACACCGGGCUGCAAGAUUCCCUCAGAAGGGCGAAGGACAACCAGCUUAUAAUUAAGAUCGCCUUACAGCACAUAGCGACUGUAAACCCUCCUCCCGGCGAGGCGCAGUACAAGAAAGUUAUGGAAGGGCUCGAAGAAUUUAAGACGGCUGUAGAUCCCUUCAAUGAGGAAUUUUUCCGGCAAUUUGAGUCAAUUGGCGAACGGCAGAAGCAGAUCUUGGUGAAACUCGCGGAAAAAAGAAAGAAAUUAGAUAUAAAGCUCAAGAAGGUGCUCCAAAUAUUUUGCAUUAUUUUCGUGUCGACGCUUGCGACGGUGUUGAUUUGCUCUGUAGUGGUGCCGGCCCUAACGGUGUCGCCAGUAGUGAACGCCAUGGCCGCCAUCUCAAUGACUGCCAUGGGAUUCAUGCCGGAGUUGCUCGAUUUCCUGUGGAUAAAAUACGAGACGGUGAAGGGGCGGCGUGAGGUUAUUGACGAACUGCACAAAAGAGCCAAUUUGGGGAUUGAAGAGCUGGAAAAAAUUAGGGUUUCGGUGGAGGAACUGGAAAGCACCAUCGGUUCGAUUCUCAGGAGCGUCGAUUUCUGUUCAAAGGAGAAUGCCCUGCAAAUUGUGGUGGAGGAUAUCAAGGAGAAACAGCAGAGCUUUACGAAUCAGAGCGAUUAUCUUUUCAAUCAUGUGGAUCGCUGCAGCCUGGACCUAGACAAGGCCAGGGACCUCGCUCUUCAAAAGCUCCAGAAGUAGAUUUAAAUUGAAUUAUCGUUGUAUUGAAUCUUGUCUGGUUUGCAAUCAGUUGAAUGAACAGCUGAAACCCUAUAUACAGAGCCUUCCGAUCAAGAAACUGGUUCCACAUGACAUGGCGACAACAGCUGGGACAGAUUAUAUAGCAGCCAACACAGAAAUUUCUCCUACUCACAAUACAACAGACAUGGAGGAUAUGCCGCAGCCAGCGA